AUCAAUUCAAAUCUUGCAAAGCUAAUUUCUCUCUCUCCCUCACUUGAAAUUUUCGACAACAUCACCUCUCUCCCUCACACACAUUUUCACCCAACACACACUAAUCUCCUUCAUCUCUCAUUUCCACCAUUUUCCUCCAUUGAUGAAAACCUUCGAAGCUUCCAACAAUAUUACCAAACACCUCAAACCACUCUAAUAUCUUCUAUAAACACAUUCUAGCCACUUUUAAUCAAGAGAAUCCUUGAAGAAGAAGCUCCAAAGUUAGAGUGAGAAAGUGAGAAUUUUGGUGAGAAUUUGGACCGAGCGAGACGAAGAAGUAAGUCGCCUGUUUUCUUUCCGAAACUAGCGAAGGACUUCAGGCUAAGCGAGGAGUGAGAUUGGUCUGGUGCUGGUGGAGGAACGUUUCAAUCGUUUUGAUCAUAUUUAAUAUUGCCUUUAUGUUAAUUAGAGUUUGAUGUUUGAGAUACUUAGUUUUCUUUUGAAACCAGGCAAUACACUCACGGUUGUGUGUCUUCAUACAUAUAAUCGGUUCGCCUUUUGCUGCGAUACUCUGCUUAUUAUUCUUCCUUAUGAAAAAUGAGCAAUACCUGUUUUGUUUUUGAUCGUGAAAUUCCUGAUAAUUAAAAAGUUAUAACGACGUUGACGAGUUUACCCUUGGGUUCAUUUAUGACGAUUUUCCUUAGCAUGCUUUGAUGCGAGCUUCCGCUUGAUGUUCGAUCUAUUCUUCUUAUCUUUUAUUCUUUUAAAAAUAGUCGUAUCGAUACUCGUACCCCACUAUCACUAGUGUCGGGAAUCGGGCUGCGACAGGGUGGUAUCAGAGCAGGUCAUCUGCUCUGAGUCUUUUGCUUGACUAAGUUGAACCCUUGA